UACGAAGGUUGCAAGCGUUACUCGGAAUUACUGGGCGUAAAGGGCGGGUAGGUGGUUUGGUAAGUCUAUUGUGAAAGCUCCCGGCUUAACCGGGAGAGGCCAAUGGAUACUGCCAAGCUUGAGUAUAGGAGAGGUUACUGGAAUUCCCGGUGUAGCGGUGAAAUGCGCAGAUAUCGGGAGGAACACCAAUGGCGAAAGCAGGUAACUGGACUAUUACUGACACUCAACUGCGAAAGCUAGGGGAGCAAACAGG
rnacentral:rRNA from 1 species